GUGGAAGUGGGGGUGUUUCUUUAACAUUGGGAUUACAACAACAUGGUGGAUCAUCAAUGGGGUUAACUACAUUUUCAUCACAACCCUCUCAUCAUAAUCAUAAUCAUCAAAGUUCACUUUUUUAUCCAAGAGAUGAUCAUGAUCAAGUUCAAUAUUCAUCACUUUUGGAUAGUGAAAAUCAGAAUUUGCCAUAUAGGAACUUGAUGGGAGCACAACUUCUUCAU
rnacentral:misc_RNA from 1 species